UUUAUUACACUGACUGGCGCCAUCGUACACAGAGUCGUCUCUGAAGCAGAUCGUGAUCUGAAAUUUAUUUUUCACAGGUAGAAGGUCGCCAUGGCUGCUUCGGAAGAGAAUAGUGCUAUGUUUCCAAUUUUCAUUUUAACAAUAAUGACACUGCCUCUGGUUCCCUAUACAAUUCUCAAAUUGUGCCGAGCAGCAUCCAAGGAAGCAAAGGUAAUUCAGUGCCAGUGCGCGGAAUGCUCUUGCUCAGGGAAGUACCGCAAAUCCAUAUUUAAGCGGAUCUCAAACUUAUCAACAUGUAGUAAUUUGACUCUGGUGCUGCUCUGGGCCAUCAUGAUAUUCUUGGUUUAUUACAUUAAA